rnacentral:pre_miRNA from 1 species
CCGCCAUCUUAAGUAGUUGAGGCGGACGGUGGCGUGAGUUCAAAGGUCACCAUCAGCCACACCUACUCAAAAUGGUGG